GCGGCUUUGGUCUAAUGGCAUGACGUCACCUUCCCAAGGUGGCUGCGCGGGUUCGAUUCCCGCAAGCCGCA
rnacentral:tRNA from 1 species